rnacentral:rRNA from 1 species
GACGAACGCUGGCGGCGUGCUUAACACAUGCAAGUCGAACGGAAAGGCCCUGCUUUUGUGGGGUGCUCGAGUGGCGAACGGGUGAGUAACACGUGAGUAACCUGCCCUUGACUUUGGGAUAACUUCAGGCAACUGGGGCUAAUACCGGAUAGGAGCUCCUGCUGCAUGGUGGGGGUUGGAAAGUUUCGGCGGUUGGGGAUGGACUCGCGGGUUAUCAGCUUGUUGGUGGGGUAGUGGCUUACCAAGGCGUUGACGGGUAGCCGGCCUGAGAGGGUGACCGGCGACAUUGGGACUGAGAUACGGCCCAGACUCCUACGGGAGGCAGCGGUGGGGAGUAUUGCACAAUGGGCGGAAGCCUGAUGCAGCAACGCCGCGUGCGGGAUGACGGCCUUCGGGUUGUAAACCGCUUUCGCCUGUGACGAAGCGUGAGUGACGGUAAUGGGUAAAGAAGCACCGGCUAACUACGUG